UUAUUCUCUGGCCGUCGCUGCGAACUCAGCGACCGGGCUUGGCGGCUCGAACA
rfam:Pseudomonas syringae pv. japonica str. M301072 contig38.9, whole genome shotgun sequence.